rnacentral:rRNA from 1 species
UGGGGAAUAUUGCGCAAUGGAGGAAACUCUGACGCAGCAACGCCGCGUGAGUGAAGAAGGUUUUCGGAUCGUAAAACUCUGUCUUUGGGGACGAAUAAAAUGACGGUACCCAAGGAGGAAGCCCCGGCUAACUACGUGCCAGUAGCCGCGGGAAUACGUAGGGGGCAAGCGUUGUCCGGAAUUACUGGGCGUAAAGAGUACGUAGGCGGUUUGUUAAGUUAGGUGUGAAAGUUUGCAGCUCAACUGUAAAAGUGCAUUUAAAACUGGCAGACUUGAGUCUCGGAGAGGUAAGCGGAAUUCCUAGUGUAGCGGUGAAAUGCGUAGAGAUUAGGAGGAACACCGGUGGCGAAGGCGGCUUACUGGACUAGUACUGACGCUCAGGUGCGAAAGCGUGGGGAGCAAACA